rnacentral:ncRNA from 1 species
GAAAGCCGUAUGCGGGAAAACUGCACGUACGGUUUGAUGAGGGGGCGGUGGUAACCCCACUGCUCUACUCUAUCGCCGCUGUAAGCCUUGAUUUUACUGGGUUUCCGGAAUUACAUCCAAGUUGUCUACUCAAC